AAAGACACAUGAAAAAACAUACAAAAACGUGGGAAGUUGUUGUGUAGUCCAAACCAAUAAGAAGAAGAUAGAUCAUUAAAAACUGAUGAUGUAAGCUAACCUGCCAUGUCACCCAUUAUGUCUAAUGUCCCUUUAACCCCGUCAGUUCUUCUGAGAGUGCUUUCAAAUUUUGUUUUUAGACCAAAUUCAAAUUUGAGAUGUAAAUGGCGGGAUCUAAAAACUUUUCUUCAAAAUUUGUUUUAUGGAAUAUCACAUAUUUCCCAACACCAAACAAAAUGUAUUUCUGGCGAAAUCGCCUCCAACGUUCCACUCACCAGCAACAGCAACCUCAACAUUGCCUUGCUUAUUACCGCACGCCUCCUCUAUGUUUUCUCUAUCGUAAUCCCUUGCCUCCUCAUCCUGGAUAUACAAAAUGCUUUGAUGGGUAAUCCAAAUUUUUAGAUUUGAGAGGUAUGUUGUUCCUUUAACAAAGGAUGAUAAUGCUUCAAGAUUCAAGCAAUGAAUGGGGCAUUUGCAUUUUGGAAGAUGCUUGGAGUAGAGGGAAUCUCGGCUUGCCAAAGAUGAUCGAGGAUGAGCAAUAGGCCAAAGAUGAGGAUCAACAAGUUGAACAUGAAGGAGCUGUCAUUAUUGGCUUUGGAUGAGAUGGAUUCAUUAGUUAGAGAUAAAAAUUAUUAAUAGCUUAUUUCCUAGACUUUCUGAAGUGUAGAGGAGGAUUGGGUUGUUUGCUAGUUUUUUAUCAAGCUUUUGUUAUGAGUUGGGUGUUUAUCAUAAGUUGUAUUGUACAUAUGUCAUGUAUUGUAUGCUAUUUAAAGAGAAACAAAUUAAUAAAGAUGAAAGCAGAAAAUUAGAACUCAAA